UUCGCAAUGCCCGAAAGGGUGACAAUGCGACGCCGCGUGUGCGAUGAAGGUCUUCGGAUUGUAAAGCACUGUCAGUCGGGAGGAAAUGUGACUCUAUCGAAGAUGGAGUUGCUUGACAAAGGCCUCAGAGGAAGCUCCGGCUAAAUCCGUGCCAGCAGCCGCGGUAAGACGGAUGGAGCGAGCGUUGUUCGGAAUCACUGGGCAUAAAGCGCGUGUAGGCGGCGGCGCAAGUCAGGUGUGAAAUCCCACGGCCCACCCGUGGAAUUGCAUUUGAUACUGCGUCGCUUGAGUGGAGGAGGGGAGAGUGGAACUGCUGGUGGAGCGGUAAAAUGCGUAGAUAUCAGCAGGAACGCCGGUGGAGAAGUCGACUCUCUGGUCUUCAACUGACGCUGAGUACGCGAAAGCUAGGGGAGCAAACGGGAUUAGAUACCCCGGUAGUCCUAGCCGUAAACGAUGGGCACUAAGUAGAGGGGUUUU
rnacentral:rRNA from 1 species